GGCUGAACCUGUAUUAGAACCCAGGCUUGUUUCCCAGCGCAGCCGGGUCCCAGAAAAAUCCCCCUGAUUUUAUCUAUUUAUUUUUUUAACCUGGAAUAGCAGCAGGGAAAGCAUUAGAGGCAAAAGGAAAGGAUUUUCAUUUUUCCAGGAAUGCUGAAGUCAGGACUGUUUGAGGGGAACCCUGUGUUUGUCAGACUCGCCAGUACCGUUUACAUCAGAUCUGGGGCAGCUUUUAAAAAUAUGCAGAUUCAUGACUGCUACCCCCACCUCACUGCUUGGCAGCCCACAGGUGCCUUCCCUGUUUCUUCCUUCUGGGUUGUGAUAGGCUUGUCUGCAGUCCGAAGCACCUGAUAAGAAUUGUAGUUAAAUGGAAUGUAUCAGCCCAGCUUCUAGGGAAUUAACCAUGAAUAAGACACAGCCACUGCUUUCAAUCUGAUAAGGUUCCCCUCUUCCAAGAUGGGUGCCAAAUGACGAGUAUCAGGUGUCUAUGGCAAGAUUUGGGGAGGAUCCCAGACCUUAACAGCCCUUUGGUUGAAUCCUCUCACAAUGUGGCAGAGAUGGGGUUUCACUGUGUUAGCCAGGAUGGUC